CAGUUGAACGAAAGCUUAUGCUUUAGUAGCGGACGGGUGAGUAAUACAUGAGAAUCUACCUUUGGGAGGGGACUAACAGUUGGAAACGGUUGCUAAUGCCCCAUAUGCUUACGAGUGAAAAGAGAAAUCUGCCCGAAGAUGAGCUCAUGCCUGAUUAGCUAGUUGGUAAGGUAAAGGCUUACCAAGGCAACGAUCAGUAGCUGGUUUGAGAGGAUGAUCAGCCACACUGGAACUGAGACACGGUCCAGACUUCUACGGAAGGCAGCAGUGGGGAAUUUUCCGCAAUGGGCGCAAGCCUGACGGAGCAAUACCGCGUGAAGGAUGAAUGCCUGUGGGUUGUAAACUUCUUUUAUUAGGGAAGAAAUAAUGACGGUACCUAAUGAAUAAGCAUCGGCUAACUUCGUGCCAGCAGCCGCGGUAAUACGGGGGAUGCAAGCGUUAUCCGGAAUUAUUGGGCGUAAAGAGUCUGUAGGUUGUUUAAUAAGUCUGCUGUUAAAUAUUAGAGCUUAACUCUAAGCAAGCAGUGGAAACUAUUAAGCUAGAGUAUGGUAGAGGCAAAGGGAAUUCCCAGUGUAGCGGUGAAAUGCGUAGAUAUUGGGAAGAACACCAGAAGCGAAAGCGCUCUGCUGGACCAUUACUGACACUCAGAGACGAAAGCUAGGGGAGCAAAUGGGAUUAGAUACCCCAGUAGUCCUAGCCGUAAACGAUGGAUACUAGAUGUUGCGCGUAUCGAUCCGUGCAGUAUCGUAGCUAACGCGUUAAGUAUCCCGCCUGGGAAGUAUGCUCGCAAGAGUGAAACUCAAAGGAAUU
rnacentral:rRNA from 1 species